UACGUAGGUGGCAAGCGUUGUCCGGAAUUAUUGGGCGUAAAGCGCGCGCAGGCGGCCUUUUAAGUCUGAUGUGAAAGCCCACGGCUCAACCGUGGAAGGUCAUUGGAAACUGAAAGGCUUGAGUACAGAAGAGGAAAGCGGAAUUCCACGUGUAGCGGUGAAAUGCGUAGAGAUGUGGAGGAACACCAGUGGCGAAGGCGGCUUUCUGGUCCGUAACUGACGCUGAGGCGCGAAAGCGUGGGGAGCGAACAGG
rnacentral:rRNA from 1 species